rnacentral:rRNA from 1 species
GACGAACGCUGGCGGCGUGCUUAACACAUGCAAGUCGAACGGAAAGGCCCUGCUUUUGUGGGGUGCUCGAGUGGCGAACGGGUGAGUAACACGUGAGUAACCUGCCCUUGACUUUGGGAUAACUUCAGGAAACUGGGGCUAAUACCGGAUAGGAGCUCCUGCUGCAUGGUGGGGGUUGGAAAGUUUCGGCGGUUGGGGAUGGACUCGCGGCUUACCAGCUUGUUGGUGGGGUAGUGGCUUACCAAGGCUUUGACGGGUAGCCGGCCUGAGAGGGUGACCGGCCACAUUGGGACUGAGAUACGGCCCAGACUCCUACGGGAGGCAGCAGUGGGGAAUAUUGCACAAUGGGUGGAAGCCUGAUGCAGCAACGCCGCGUGCGGGAUGACGGCCUUCGGGUUGUAAACCGCUUUCGCCUGUGACGAAGCGUGAGUGACGGUAAUGGGUAAAGAAGCACCGGCUAACUACGUG